CACGUAGGGGGCAAGCGUUGUUCGGAAUUACUGGGCGUAAAGGGCUCGUAGGCGGCCAACUAAGUCAGACGUGAAAUCCCUCGGCUUAACCGGGGAACUGCGUCUGAUACUGGUUGGCUUGAAUCCGGGAGAGGGAUGUGGAAUUCCAGGUGUAGCGGUGAAAUGCGUAGAUAUCUGGAGGAACACCGGUGGCGAAGGCGGCAUCCUGGACCGGUAUUGACGCUGAGGAGCGAAAGCCAGGGGAGCAAACGGG
rnacentral:rRNA from 1 species